rnacentral:snoRNA from 1 species
GCACAAGAUGAUCAACGUAUACUUCGUAUAUGCUGGAAAUUACCGGCAGAGGCCUUGCGCCGCUGAAGAUACAAAUUGGCUGUUAUCUGAUC